rnacentral:rRNA from 1 species
AACGAACGCUGGCGGCGUGCCUAACACAUGCAAGUCGAGCGCGAAAAGGGCAACCUGAGUAGAGCGGCGCACGGGUGCGUAACACGUGGGUAAUCUGCCUUAGAGUCGAGGAUAACCUUCCGAAAGGUUGGCUAAUACUCGGUAAGCUUACGGUGUCUUCGGACGCUGUGGGAAAAGUAGGCCUCUGUUUACAAGCUUACGCUCUGAGAUGAGCCCGCGGCCCAUCAGCUAGUUGGCGGUGUAACGGACCACCAAGGCAACGACGGGUAGCUGGUCUGAGCGGACGAUCAGCCACACUGGAACUGAGACACGGUCCAGACUCCUACGGGAGGCAGCAGUGGGGAAUUUUCCACAAUGGGCGAAAGCCUGAUGGAGCAACGCCGCGUGUGUGAUGAAGGUUUUCGGAUCGUAAAGCACUUUCGACUGGGACGAAAAACCUUUGGCUAACAUCCAGGGGCCUGACGGUACCAGGAGAAGAAGCACCGGCUAACUCUGUGCCAGCCGCCGCCGUAAAAC